rnacentral:lncRNA from 1 species
AUCAAAUAGUAUCUAUUAGAACGAAUUCGAUAUACAAUACCAGUAUAUAUAAAUAUAUAUGUAUGAUAUACCGUACAAAUUCACCAACAUAAUAACAGAGAUACAGAUAUCAAUGAAGAGCAUGCCUGAACGAAUGAAAUGCUACUUGUCUACACGACCACUUUCACAAGCUAUACAAUCCAGAUGUAGAGAGGUUUCUUCGACCACAGAAUCGUAGAUUUGACAGAUAACUAGGACGAACUGAUAUUUAUUCACAUGAUUCUUCUUCCGCACGCACACCAUUCACCACCUUGAUAAGCCCUUGGCUGAAAAGUCAAAUAACGGAAUUCUUAGGAACGAUCGGAAACACCAGUAAACAUGCAGCAAGGAUUAUACAAGUUGAUACCUAGCUAGCUAGGCUGGUUGACUCACCUGUCGGUUUACCACCAGCAGCACUUGCAUCAUCGAGUUUGUACGGCUGUCUUGGUAGGUGAGAGUUGCUGCCGUUGCUCGACACAGCGGUCUUCGUCGACAACCCUUUACUACCUGCUUUACGGAGCGCACGAAUGCAUGCAGAAGGCGUCAAGAAAGUGCAAGAAAGCAUCAGAGACCACAACCGUCGAAUCUAUAGAAAGGUAGUACCAGAAAGGUGCGGAUCUGAUAAAGGCAGAGCUAUCCAUGCAUGCAUGCACGUACGUGUGCUCGGGUGUUGAUCGGAUGAGUGACACUCACUGACCUGCAGUAGGCGGCGGCGGCGGCUCCUGGCCCUCCGUGUACGCGGCUCUCUGCUGGCCGGAAGACCCUUGCAUUGGAGGCACAGAUCUACUUUGUCCUGCAUAUAUAUGUAUGUAUGGAGAAUAUAUUAGAACAUCAGAGUUGACAAAUUGCUUACUCCGAUCGUGCAUGUGCAUGCAAUGGACGAAUUGGAUAUCUGGAGAGGCUGGCUCACCCUUCGCCGCCAUGCUCAGUCCUGGAGACCUUGGUGUCUCCCUGUCUUCUCUUCAGCUAGCUUGCUUUGGAAGAGUUUGUUGCUAAA